CCUACGGGAGGCAGCAGUAGGGAAUCUUCCACAAUGGGCGAAAGCCUGAUGGAGCAACGCCGCGUGUGUGAAGAAGGUCUUCGGAUCGUAAAACACUGUUGUUGGAGAAGAAAGUGCGUGGGUGUAACUGUGCACGUUUCGCCGUUAUCUGACCAGAAAGCCACGGCUAACUACGUGCCAGCAGCCGCGGUAAUACGUAGGUGGCAAGCGUUAUCCGGAUUUAUUGGGCGUAAGGGGAACGCAGGCGGUCUUUUAAGUCUGAUGUGAAAGCCUUCGGCUUAACCGGGGUAGUGCAUUGGAAACUGGGAGACUUGAGUGCAGAAGAGGAGAGUGGAACUCCAGGUGUAGCGGUGAAAUGCGUAGAUAUAUGGAAGAACACCAGUGGCGAAAGCGGCCCCCUGGUCUGUAACUGACGCUGAGGUUCGAAAGCGUGGGUAGCAAACAGGAUUAGAUACCCGAGUAGUC
rnacentral:rRNA from 1 species